rfam:Triticum aestivum genome assembly, contig: Triticum_aestivum_CS42_TGACv1_scaffold_591825_7BS
UAAGUACUCCCUCCGUUCCAAAAUAGAUGACCCAACUUUGUACUAACUUAACUUUAAGUUAAGUUAGUACAAAGUUGGGUCAUCUAUUUUGGAACGGAGGGAGUACAAU